CCUACGGGUGGCAGCAGUGAGGAAUAUUGGUCAAUGGGCGAGAGCCUGAACCAGCCAAGUCGCGUGAAGGAUGACGGCCCUACGGGUUGUAAACUUCUUUUAUAAAGGAAUAAAACGCGGCACGUGUGCCUUUUUGCAUGUACUUUAUGAAUAAGGAUCGGCUAACUCCGUGCCAGCAGCCGCGGUAAUCCGGAGGAUCCGAGCGUUAUCCGGAUUUAGUGGGUUUAAAGGGAGCGUAGAUGGGGGGUUAAGUCAGUUGUGAAAGUUUGCGGCUCAACCGUAAAAUUGCAAUUGAUACUGGCAGGCUUGAGUACAGUUGAGGUAGGCGGAAUUCGUGGUGUAGCGGUGAAAUGCUUAGAUAUCACGAAGAACCCCGAUUGCGAAGGCAGCUUACUAAACUGUGACUGACAUUGAUGCUCGAAAGUGUGGGUAUCAAACAGGAUUAGAUACCCCAGUAGUC
rnacentral:rRNA from 1 species